AAACCCAAUGGUAACGCCAAGAUCUUUCUCCACGUCCCAAUUAUGUAAGACGUCCUGAUCCUCCACAGUAAACACAGUCAACACCGAAAGCUUGACGGCGGUUCCGUCGGGGGAUAGCUCAGGCGUGAGAAUUAGUACGUGUUCACAAGGUUAACAAUGGAGGAAUAUAUGGUCUAGUGUAUUGAGAGAGAUAAUAAUUCUCAAUUGUGUGUGUAUGGGAGAAUAUAAAUAAUCAAUAUAUGUGAAAACGUACCUACAUACGAUGGCUUCCUUGCUAAGUUAUAUUACCUUUGCUUGGAUUACUGUGCCACCCACUACAACCUGACACCCCCUCUGAUCUGAUGGGCUCUGCCGACUAUAUCAGAUUUAUCUACUGCUUUUGGUCAAUGUUUUCUACCGCCGGCCGGUUAUGAUCCCAUCCACAUUAAUGCAUGGCAGGAGCUUUGGUCAACUAUCAUGCUUUUUCAUCAUCACAAGUCAAAGUAAUAGAUAUUAAAAUAUCUAAUGGGUCGAUCCACUGGAC
rnacentral:lncRNA from 1 species